rnacentral:rRNA from 1 species
AGCGAACGCUGGCGGUAGGCCUAACACAUGCAAGUCGAACGAACUCAUCGUAAGUGCUUGCUCUUACGGGAGGAGAGUGGCGGACGGGUGAGGUAUACAUCGGAAUAUACAUUUACACGGGGGAUAACGUAGGGUAACUUCCGCUAAUACCGCAUACGUCCUCCGGGUAAAGGCAGGGGUUCUUCGGGCCUUGCGCGAAUGAAUGAGCCGAUGUCGGCUUAGCUCGUUGGCGGGGUAAAGGGGCACCCAGGCGACGAUCCGUAGCUGGUCUGAGAGGGACAUCAGCUACACGGGAACUGAGACACGCUCCAGACUCCGACAGUGGGCAGCAGUGGGGAAUAUUAGACGAUGGGCCAAAGCCUGAUCCAGCGAUACCGCGUGAGUCAAGAAGGCCUUCUGGCUGUAAAGCCCUGUUGUUCUGAAAGAAAAGCAGCUGUUUAAUCCCCCGCUGUUCUGACGGUACCCAAAGAAUAAGCACCGGCUAACUUCGUG